rnacentral:rRNA from 1 species
UAGAGUUUGAUCCUGGCUCAGGAUGAACGCUAGCUACAGGCUUAACACAUGCAAGUCGAGGGGCAGCAUGGUCUUAGCUUGCUAAGGCCGAUGGCGACCGGCGCACGGGUGAGUAACACGUAUCCAACCUGCCGUCUACUCUUGGACAGCCUUCUGAAAGGAAGAUUAAUACAAGAUGGCAUCAUGAGUCCGCAUGUUCACAUGAUUAAAGGUAUUCCGGUAGACGAUGGGGAUGCGUUCCAUUAGAUAGUAGGCGGGGUAACGGCCCACCUAGUCUUCGAUGGAUAGGGGUUCUGAGAGGAAGGUCCCCCACAUUGGAACUGAGACACGGUCCAAACUCCUACGGGAGGCAGCAGUGAGGAAUAUUGGUCAAUGGGCGAGAGCCUGAACCAGCCAAGUAGCGUGAAGGAUGACUGCCCUAUGGGUUGUAAACUUCUUUUAUAAAGGAAUAAAGUCGGGUAUGGAUACCCGUUUGCAUGUACUUUAUGAAUAAGGAUCGGCUAACUCCGUGCCAGCAGCCGCGGUAAUACGGAGGAUCCGAGCGUUAUCCGGAUUUAUUGGGUUUAAAGGGAGCGUAGAUGGAUGUUUAAGUCAGUUGUGAAAGUUUGCGGCUCAACCGUAAAAUUGCAGUUGAUACUGGAUAUCUUGAGUGCAGUUGAGGCAGGCGGAAUUCGUGGUGUAGCGGUGAAAUGCUUAGAUAUCACGAAGAACUCCGAUUGCGAAGGCAGCCUGCUAAGCUGCAACUGACAUUGAGGCUCGAAAGUGUGGGUAUCAAACAGGAUUAGAUACCCUGGUAGUCCACACGGUAAACGAUGAAUACUCGCUGUUUGCGAUAUACGGCAAGCGGCCAAGCGAAAGCGUUAAGUAUUCCACCUGGGGAGUACGCCGGCAACGGUGAAACUCAAAGGAAUUGACGGGGGCCCGCACAAGCGGAGGAACAUGUGGUUUAAUUCGAUGAUACGCGAGGAACCUUACCCGGGCUUAAAUUGCAGAUGAAUUACGGUGAAAGCCGUAAGCCGCAAGGCAUCUGUGAAGGUGCUGCAUGGUUGUCGUCAGCUCGUGCCGUGAGGUGUCGGCUUAAGUGCCAUAACGAGCGCAACCCUUGUUGUCAGUUACUAACAGGUCAUGCUGAGGACUCUGACAAGACUGCCAUCGUAAGAUGUGAGGAAGGUGGGGAUGACGUCAAAUCAGCACGGCCCUUACGUCCGGGGCUACACACGUGUUACAAUGGGGGGUACAGAGGGCCGCUACCACGCGAGUGGAUGCCAAUCCCAAAAACCUCUCUCAGUUCGGACUGGAGUCUGCAACCCGACUCCACGAAGCUGGAUUCGCUAGUAAUCGCGCAUCAGCCACGGCGCGGUGAAUACGUUCCCGGGCCUUGUACACACCGCCCGUCAAGCCAUGGGAGCCGGGGGUACCUGAAGUGCGUAACCGCGAGGAGCGCCCUAGGGUAAAACUGGUGACUGGGGCUAAGUCGUAACAAGGUAGCCG